rnacentral:rRNA from 1 species
AGAACGAACGCUGGCGGCAGGCCUAACACAUGCAAGUCGAACGAGAAGCCACCUUCGGGUGGUGGACAGUGGCAGACGGGUGAGUAACGCGUGGGAACGUGCCUUUCGGUUCGGGAUAACCCAGGGAAACUUGGGCUAAUACCGGAUACGCCCUUCGGGGGAAAGAUUCAUUGCCGAAAGAUCGGCCCGCGUCGGAUUAGCUAGUUGGUGGGGUAAAAAGCCUACCAAGGCGACGAUCCGUAGCUGGUCUGAGAGGAUGACCAGCCACACUGGGACUGAGACACGGCCCAGACUCCUACGGGAGGCAGCAGUGGGGAAUUUUCCGCAAUGGGCGAAAGCCUGACGGAGCAAGACCGCGUGGGGGAAGAAGGCUCUUGGGUUGUAAACCCCUUUUCUCUGGGAAGAACGCAAUGACGGUACCAGAGGAAUCAGCAUCGGCUAACUCCGUGCCAGCAGCCGC